UACGUAGGGCGCAAGCGUUAUCCGGAAUUAUUGGGCGUAAAGAGCUCGUAGGCGGUCUGUCGCGUCUGCUGUGAAAAUCCAGGGCUCAACCCUGGACCUGCGGUGGGUACGGGCAGACUAGAGUGUGGUAGGGGAGACUGGAAUUCCUGGUGUAGCGGUGAAAUGCGCAGAUAUCAGGAGGAACACCGAUGGCGAAGGCAGGUCUCUGGGCCACUACUGACGCUGAGAAGCGAAAGCGUGGGGAGCGAACAGG
rnacentral:rRNA from 1 species